AGGGAUUCAUGCAACCAGUCACAUGGAAUGGUACAGCUAUGGGGCUCACCAUGGUAGACUGAAAGGCUUAUCCAGAAUAAAAUUACAGCCAAAGGGGUGAAGUGCCUCAGUGAUGCUCUCCAGGAGAACACAACUAUUAAAGAAAUCUGCUUGAACGGGAACCUGAUAAGCCAAGAAGAGGCCAAAGCUUUUGAAAAUGAAAAGCGGAUCAUUUGCUUUUGAAUGGGGACUUUCCCAUUUUGCUCCUACACUUGGACAGCAGAGUUUAUAAAGGCAUCAAUCUACAGUGCUCGUGGCAGGAGAGAGAUACACAAUAAGCUGCCUUUUUAUGAGCACACUGCACUCCCUCAGCUCCAUCCCUUACUCUGCCUGUUAUUUUUAAUCCUUUUGGUGAGUGGGAAGUUGCCUGGGUAAAUAAUUAAUGUUUGUUUGAUGCUUUGAAGAUGAAAUGCAAAGUGUUAACAGGCUAGAUCCACUGGCAGGUGUAUGCAUUUUGUUAACUGAGUUUAGAUCUAUUCUGUACAGUGAUGUAAAUAAUCUCUUAACUUAUUUAUAUACGUAAAUAAAGACACACAAGUAUACAUGUGCAAGAAAGGGUACAAGAUCCAAAAACUCCACCAGCUCUGACUAUUACCUGCCUCAGAUCUGAAAAUUAAUAUAUACACAGCUUUACCAGAAACAGUA